GGCUCAGUAGGUAGAGCAUGAGACUCUUGAUCUCAGAGUCGUGAGUUUGAGGCCCAC
rnacentral:tRNA from 1 species